UCACUGUUAUACUGAUAGAAAAAUUCUGCCUGCUUGUUCGAAACAUUAGUGACAUUUUUCGAGUGUGGCUUGUACUGCUAACAAGAACUUUACUUUUAUUCCCUUUCUCUCUAGCCAAAAGGAUCUUCCCAAGUAGCUAAACAGACACAAGGAAGUCCAAAUAGUAUUUCUUCGGGAUCAAACCAUGGAGAAGAUGAUGCUGCGGUAUUGCCGCCAUCGGUAUCAUCUUCAAUUAGCAAGAGUCAGUUUUCGGAAACUGAAAAUUCACAAGAGGACAGUGGUAAUUCAGUAGAGACAGAGGUUGUGGCAGCACCAAGAUAUGGUUCACAAGGUCCUCUACUAGCUUCUUACAGUAACACACCAAAGCUUACUCCCCCGGGUUCCCCUCCAAGUUAUCCUCCACGAAGAACACUGUCUAAA